GUGUCUUUAGAAAAAAUGUGAGAUUGUAGAGAGAGAAAUGAGAACUAGGCCAAAGGGUUCAAAAUAGAUCAGGCAAAGAAAUCACUGAAAGUACUAGUUAGGUGUAUCUAGAUGAAUUAGCUCUCUUAUAAGAACAUCUAUGCUU